CGUACACUCUACGGGAGGCAGCAGUGGGGAAUAUUGGACAAUGGGCGCAAGCCUGAUCCAGCCAUGCCGCGUGAGUGAUGAAGGCCCUAGGGUUGUAAAGCUCUUUCACCGGUGAAGAUAAUGACGGUAACCGGAGAAGAAGCCCCGGCUAACUUCGUGCCAGCAGCCGCGGUAAUACGAAGGGGGCUAGCGUUGUUCGGAUUUACUGGGCGUAAAGCGCACGUAGGCGGACUAUUAAGUCAGGGGUGAAAUCCCGGGGCUCAACCCCGGAACUGCCUUUGAUACUGGUAGUCUUGAGUUCGAGAGAGGUGAGUGGAAUUCCGAGUGUAGAGGUGAAAUUCGUAGAUAUUCGGAGGAACACCAGUGGCGAAGGCGGCUCACUGGCUCGAUACUGACGCUGAGGUGCGAAAGCGUGGGGAGCAAACAGGAUUAGAAACCCGUGUAGUCCCAU
rnacentral:rRNA from 1 species